GCCGGGCUGGGGAGUAGUAGGCCAGCCGGUGCCAGGCUGCGUUUGCAACCAGCACCUCUCGACACACAGGCAGCGCCGCCCGAGAGGGGCACGGGAGCCGGGGCGCGGGCAGAAGCAGCCCGAGGAAAACAACAACAGAGCCAGCCCUCACGCCGGCGGGCGGCUCGUGGCCGCCCGGGGAGCCCCAAACUUCAUCUCGGCGAAAGUCACUAUCAUAUGACAAAGGCUUUGCUGCAGUUCAUCUUCCUCCCUGUGUACUUUCCAUUUGCCUUCCCGGUGACCCUUGAAAGGUGCUUUGGAAUGAAAGAAGGGUGACCAGCAUAGUGGUCUUCAAACAUUUUCACUCCAGUAAAAGAAUUUUGAAAACUGUGGAUUCCCUCAUGUAUUUCUUCAUUGACACUUGAAAUUUUUGUCAUAAGUUUAAAUCAUUUGCUAAAG
rnacentral:lncRNA from 1 species